GAGGCUAUAGCUCAGUGAUAGAGUGCAUGCCUAGGAUACAGAAAGUCCUGGGUUCAAUUCCCAGUACCUCU
rnacentral:tRNA from 1 species